UGGGGAAUAUUGGACAAUGAGCGAAAGCCUGAUCCAGCCAUGCCGCGUGUGUGAAGAAGGUCUUCGGAUUGUAAAGCACUUUAAGUUGGGAGGAAGGGCAUUAACCUAAUACGUUAGUGUUUUGACGUUACCGACAGAAUAAGCACCGGCUAACUCUGUGCCAGCAGCCGCGGUAAUAAAGAGGGUGCAAGCGUUAAUCGGAAUUACUGGGCGUAAAGCGCGCGUAGGUGGUUUGUUAAGUUGGAUGUGAAAUCCCCGGGCUCAACCUGGGAACUGCAUUCAAAACUGACUGACUAGAGUAUGGUAGAGGGUGGUGGAAUUUCCUGUGUAGCGGUGAAAUGCGUAGAUAUAGGAAGGAACACCAGUGGCGAAGGCGACCACCUGGACUAAUACUGACACUGAGGUGCGAAAGCGUGGGGAGCAAACA
rnacentral:rRNA from 1 species